CACUCCCUGCCUGCCAAUCUCCUCCGGGUUAGGGCCUCUCUCUUUCCAUUCUUGCGAGCUCCCCCUACUUGAGAGCUCCAGGAGGCCCAGCCUUCCAGAAUCCGAUCUCCUUCCGACAUUGCAGCCCCCCUGCGGAGGAAGGAAGAGGCCUCCUCGGAAUGAAUGACGGGAGAGACCUGAGAAGGGGUCCGUGGAGAUGUCAUCGUCUGAUGACAGCCACUUAAGGAGUAGAAGACUUGACAUGUGAGUUGCCCUUGGUCACCCAGUUAACAGGGAAGGGGGUUAACAGGGAAGGA
rnacentral:lncRNA from 1 species